AGCGUAGCUCAAUGGUAGAGCGCCAGCCUUCCAAGCUGGUUACGAGGGUCCGAUUCCCUUCGCU
rnacentral:tRNA from 1 species